rnacentral:rRNA from 1 species
UACGAAGGGGGCUAGCGUUGUUCGGAAUUACUGGGCGUAAAGCGCGCGUAGGCGGGCGUUUAAGUCAGGGGUGAAAUGCCGGGGCUCAACCUCGGAACGGCCUUUGAUACUGGACGUCUGGAGUUCGGGAGAGGUGAGUGGAAUUCCGAGUGUAGAGGUGAAAUUCGUAGAUAUUCGGAGGAACGCCAGAAGCGAAGGCGGCUCACUGGCCCGAGACUGACGCUGAGGCGCGAAAGCGUGGGGAGCAAACAGG